CAGCCGCCGCGGGAAAACGAAGGGGGCUAGCGUUGUUCGGAUUUACUGGGCGUAAAGGGCGCGUAGGCGGACUGAUAAGUCAGGGGUGAAAUCCCAAGGCUCAACCUUGGAACUGCCUUUGAUACUGUUUGUCUUGAGUUCGAGAGAGGUAAGUGGAACUGCGAGUGUAGAGGUGAAAUUCGUAGAUAUUCGGAGGAACACCAGUGGCGAAGGCGGCUCACUGGUCCAUUACUGACGCUGAGGUGCGAAAGCGUGGGGAGCAAACAGGAUUAGAGACCCGAGUAGUCCCUGUCUCUUAUAC
rnacentral:rRNA from 1 species